CACAGCACUGCCUUAUCAUCUAUUUUUAACUGAGUUUCUCCAUCUUCUUUGUAAAGGAAUAACACUCCUUCAUUGCCUCUGGCCAUAAUUAAUACGCCAUAUGUCAGGUCCAAGAGACACAUAAAAACAGACUGAAAGCAGAGUGCUAGCUCUCAAGCAGAGCAAAUAACUUUGGAGAAGAACUGUAUUUUCUACACUGAAACAAUUUCUUUUCAGCUGCUGCAAUUAAAGGAGCUCAGCUGCCUGGGGCCUCAGGAGUCGAGGCAGGACAGCAGCAAGGAGAGCAGCUGGUGCUGGGACACCAGGACUGUCCCUGUUAGGAAGCACCCUGCACUGCAACAGCCACAGAGCCGGUCAGUGAGCUGGGUCAUUAAUUAGUUGAUUGCCUGCAGGUUCUGCCCCAUCUGAACAGGUGCAAUCCAUCUGCAUAGGUGAGCCCUAUCUGUCCAGGGCUGCCCCUCCCCAUUAUGACUAUUAGUGCUGCCAGUCCAGGGAGGUGCUUUCUUCUGAGGUGGCUGCAUGCUGCAGAGAUCGGGGUGCAGGAAAAUAUUCAUUUGUGAAACAAAAACGAUUCAUAGAAAGGAGAUGUUUCUUCCAAGUCGGCUAGGUUAGCAUCUCAGAAAAGGGCUUCUUUCACACUGACCCGCUGAGCAGUGAGCAGCGCUCCUUUCGAAACCUUCGGUGAGUAUUUAUGGAAAAGAAGUUAAAAGGAAAAUGCUGAAGCUGAAGUGAAACCUCCGGAACGUUUCUGAUGAGCGAUUUUGGCGAGCUGCCCCCAGGAGCAACGCGCCGUCACCUCCAUGCUGCUGUGCGCUGCUCCCCUGUCCUACAAACGCCAUUUUGGAGGCACUCCUGGGAGCUCUGUGGGCACCUCCUUGUGAAGGUCUGCUCAGGAAUACCCGUAUUCUCCUUGUAGCGUGAAUGAACCACAGUUUUGCUAUAUCACAUUUCCACCCAAGAAUGAAUGAAAUGGUGUCUGACUGGGAACACCUAAUAGGCAUUACAUUAGACAUUAAAAAAAAAAAAAAAAGAGCCUAGCCAUCUCCAUAGACAGCUGUGGGAGGAAAAAGCUCCCCUUGUGCCAAAUGGGAGGAGGUUCCUUGAGCCCAGCGCUACCCGGAGCUGUGCUGGAAGCAGUGCUUGGACGGCUGCGGGCGUUCCGAGCUGUGCUGUUUUCCUUGGCCAUCUGCUUGGCUGCGUCUCUGACUUCUGGACCAGGUCCUGAGUUUUUCUGAAGUUAAUGGAAAUUUGCAUGGGCUCCGUUCUUGGAUUUGCCCUUCUCUUCUGUUGCAGGUUUGUGCUUAAAAAAAAAAAAAAAACCACAAACUUUUUUUAUUGUUACACUUCUGCAGUCUGGAAUUCCUCAGCAUUGGUUUCUGUAUUCCAUAGGCCUGAAAUAGCUGAAAAUUUGUCAGUAAGUGUAAGAUUUCAGAAACUCACUGCUUUAUUGCUCAUAACUUCUCCCCUCACUGCUAUUUAUCCCCCUCAAACCGCUCUGCCUGUGUAAGGAUCCUGGUGCUGAGAGAAGUGAGCAGAGCCCGUGUGCUGUAAUGCGAGCGUUCACUGAGCGCUGCUGCACAGCUUGCUCACAGAUUGGAGAUAACACGGCUGUUUCUGUACAGUUGAUAUUACAGAUUUGCUGCACCCUGCUUUGCAGAUAAAGAGUAGGAUUAUUUGUAAUGAAGUUAUGCAAUUCAGCUUUGUCUCUUGCUUUUGUUCCAUAGGGGUGAAAUAUCAAAAAUCUAUAAAGAAGUCAGCAUGCAAACAAAGUUGUUCUGCAGCAGCAAUAGAGCCCUCAGCUGGGCACAGAACCCCGGCGUUGGCCUGGGAUGCCCUGCAGUUGGGGCUGCCCUGAGUUGGGGGUGCUGUGGGCCAGGCAGGAGGUGGCUCACUUGGAGUUGCUUCUUGCAUCCUGGGCAUCUCCUUUCAGCUGAGGGGAAGAAGGUGGUCUGGCUCUGGAAAUGAGCUCCUCUGCAUUGCUGUGCACAUCUGCAGCUCAAUGGGCCCCGUGGGUAAUGCCCUGGAAAAAGCUGAAGCUUUUCUGUCCAGGCUGAGGACAGCCAAUGUGGGGACAGGGAACCAUCACUGUCAGCAGGGCUUCAUGCAUGGGGCCAACGAGGGGAGCAGCAGAGGGGUGUUGGGCUCAGAGUGGUGCUUCAUCUGCAUGCGGCUCUCCAACGUUUGUCCUCAUCACCUCUGAUGUAACUGAGUGUUGCACACGGUUAAGGCUGUUGUGUGCAAUGUGUUGAGAGCCUUAAAAUCCUUGCAGCAGCACCCCGGUCUGGAUGCCCAACUCACUCUGUAGGAGCCUCACAGCCCUUCCCAUGGCAGCACUGCAGUUGCCUGGGCAGGGAGCAGAAUGUGGGUACAGCAGCACGUCAGGUGCAGCCAGAGUGAAGUGAGCUGAGCUCCUCAUUAAUGUGAUCGUUAAUAAUCAAUAACAAAACUGAUAACAAACAAACCAUGAGUUCUGCUGUAAGUUGUUGCAAAGAGGUGUUGGAGGUUAAUCAUCCACACUUGCUGCUCCUGAAAAAUAUGCUUAAAAUAUUGCAGCAGUAAACUGGGCUUUGUGAGACAUUUUGUUGGUAAGAUUACAGAAUGGCCUUGGGGAUGAGAAGUCAAAUGUAACAACAGUGCUUUCUUAGGAUCCUGGUGGCUGACUUAAAGGAAUGCCAGUGUGCACUACAUAGACCCGAAAUGCACAGCCCGUCCUCCUCCCCUCAUCUCCCUUUUCCUCCCCCAAAGCAGGGAGCACCUUUUGGUGCACAAUGAGCUCUGGGUGGGAAGGUGCUGCCAGGAGAACAGCUCUGCCUCUGGUGGUGGUGCUGGGCUGCUUUCCUAUGGCAGCCGGCACACAGGGUGCUGACGCGCCCUUGGAGAAGCAGCAGCAGAUUGUUCGGGUUAUGCAGUGCUCAAGAUGUCCUUCCAGAACAAUAUGGGCUUUGUGCAGCAGAUGAAGUUUUCUUAUUGGGAAUUUAGCACAGAAUGACUGAACGCCUUCUGCAGCCUUGGAAAGAGCCGGAGCUGUAUGGCUGCAGCUGAACAAAAGGAGAAAUUCCACGCCACAGAAACGAGAUCUGGGAGCAAAGUGAACGCGGCCAAGCUAUAGAAAUAGAUCACAGGCUGCCUCGAGUCUACACCAGCAGUAAGGAAAGCUUUGGUCCUCGUACACAAGCACAUUAAAAAUCUGAGAUGGCAGCGCUUGCUGAAACAAACACAAACCAUUUGUUGGUGUUGGCAAAGGCCACGUCCUUCAGGAACAGGGAUUUCUUCAGCCACGAGUGCGCGGCUUCCAAGCUGAGCGUGGCGCUGGGAGAUGUGGUAGCUCCGACCCUUCGAGAAGAGCAGACAGAUUUCCAAAAUAAAACAAACAGCAGUGCCCCUUCCAGCCCCGGGCGUGGGGAGGAAUGCAGGCUGCCAGGACCCUGCUGCGCCUGCACUGCAGCUGCUGCCAGAGGCCCGGGAGGAAUGUGCUCUAAAUGGAGCGAUGAAGCACUUUCCCUUCAAGAUCUGAGUCACAUCUUUACCUCCUGCUUCUCUCGCCUGACUUCCUGGUGCUGUCCUGGAGUAACAAAGCUCUGUUGGCCUCUGCUCAAAGUGAGCUGGAACUGCAGCCUGAGCACUGCUCCAAAGCUGAGCAGUAGGGAUGGGCGGGAGGUCUGACGGCUGAGCGCUGUGUUACCAGAGCUGCGGUUUUCUCUCCUUCUGCUGCCGCUGUGUGCCGACGUGCUGGCUGGUGUGAGGUCUGCAGGAUCAAAGCGUGACCCUGUCCCCAUAGCACUGAGACCCAGAGCUGCCCCAGCUCUGCAGCCCUGACAUGGCACCGUUGGUGUGGGUUGGGCAGGAGCUGCUCCUGCUCACGUUCUCCUACACAGUCCUACUCAAAACCAAACCAGAACUGGGGCAGCACUGCCCUGGUGCAGCACUCUGCCCUGGUGCAGGCAGCUGGGAGUUGGCUCCUGGCAGCAGCCUUCCCAACCUGCAGUGUUUGUCACUGAUAUAUGGUGCCAUCUGAUCAGACAAUGUACCGAAAUACAACUCAAAAUAAUUGGUUUGGACAAUGGUGUGCUGCUGGAGCUGAGCUGCCAGCUGCUCUCAGCAGGCCACACAGGAGGGCCAGCUUUCCUCCUGCUCUUUCUACUUCAUGCUUGUAGCAACUGCUAUGGACCAUUACUUCAGCCUGUCAGACUCCCCCCAUGCUGAGCUCUGCCUCUGGUUUGCCUGCUUUUCCACUGUUCUACCAUUCCAGAAAUGUAUCAGCUUUGUUCCGUUGCUGCACACCACUCCUGAGCCUUAGCAUCACACACAGAGCUGGGAGCAGGAGCACCACUUGGGCCAGCUUCCCAUCCUUGAUUUCUGGCAAAUCUUGGGGCUCAUUAUUGAAGGAGCACCACCUUUGGUAAAUACAUGCCUUCUGUCCAAGGCAACGUGUGUUAUCUCUGCUCCCUCUCCCCUCCAUCCCCAGGUUUGGGGGUCUGUGUGGACUGA
ensembl:lncRNA